rnacentral:ncRNA from 1 species
UGAAAAACAUUGAACAGGAAAAGUAUUUAAGUUUGUUUUUAUUUACAGAGAGUGGGGGAGUGCUGAAAACCCAUAGAAAAGCUUAAAGAAAAUCACCUGGGAGUUGAAGAAUUGAACAGUAUUUUUAUAAUCACUUUAGUAAAUUCUUACGUAAUUCUACGUUACAGAAUAGAGUAUGGUAGUACUUAAAUUUAUUACCCAUAGGUGGUACAGCGAGUUAAACUUCGUCCUAUUU